rnacentral:misc_RNA from 1 species
UGGCUCUCGCAUCGAUGAAGAACGCGGCGAAAUGCGAUAAGUAAUGUGAAUUGCAGAUUUCAGUGAAUCAUCGAAUCUUUGAACGCACCUUGCGCUCCUAGGUCUUCCGAGGAGCAUGCCUGUUUGAGUGCCCAGAACUUUACUCAGUCUCCAGCUUGUCUGGAGAUCGGAAAAUGGGGGUUCUGCCAUGGACAUUUUCAAGUUCACGGCUCUCCCUAAAUAUGUUAGCUUGUGGGGGACGAACACCACCGUUGGCUUGAUAGGUUGAUUGAUCUAUGCCGCAAAGGUUUCGAAUGUAACACAGCUUCAUAAUCGUCUCAAGAGAGACAAACAUCAUUCUGAGCUCGGGCCUCAAGUCAGGUAGGAUUACCCGCUGA